rnacentral:rRNA from 1 species
UUCCGGAAGAUCCUGCCGGACCUGACUGCUAUCGGAUUGAUACUAAGCCAUGCGAGUCAUUGUAGCAAUACAAGGCAGACGGCUCAGUAACGCGUAGUCAACCUAACCUAUGGACGGGAAUAACCUCGGGAAACUGAGAAUAAUGCCCGAUAGAACAUUAUGCCUGGAAUGGUUUAUGUUCCAAAUGAUUUAUCGCCGUAGGAUGGGACUGCGGCCUAUCAGUUUGUUGGUGAGGUAAUGGCCCACCAAGACUAUUACAGGUACGGGCUCUGAGAGGAGUAGCCCGGAGAUGGGUACUGAGACACGGACCCAGGCCCUAUGGGGCGCAGCAGGCGAGAAAACUUUGCAAUGUGCGAAAGCACGACAAGGUUAAUCCGAGUGGUUUCUGCUAAAGGAACCUUUUGUCGGUCCUAGAAACACCGAUGAAUAAGGGGUGGGCAAGUUCUGGUGUCAGCCGCCGCGGUAAAACCAGCACCUCAAGUGGUCAGGAUGAUUAUUGGGCCUAAAGCAUCCGUAGCCUGCUUUGUUAGUUUUCGGUUAAAUCUGUACGCUCAACGUACAGGCUGCCGGGAAUACUGCAAAGCUAGGGAGUGGGAGAGGUAGACGGUACUCGGUAGGAAGGGGUAAAAUCCUUUGAUCUAUUGAUGACCACCUGUGGCGAAGGCGGUCUACCAGAACACGUCCGACGGUGAGGGAUGAAAGCUGGGGGAGCAAACCGGAUUAGAUACCCGGGUAGUCCCAGCCGUAAACCAUGCAAACUCAGUGAUGCAUUGGCUUGUGGCCAAUGCGGUGCUGCAGGGAAGCCGUUAAGUUUGCCGCCUGGGAAGUACGUACGCAAGUAUGAAACUUAAAGGAAUUGGCGGGGGAGCACCACAAGCCGUGAAGC